UUUAUGGAGAGUUUGAUCCUGGCUCAGGACGAACGCUGGCGGCGUGCCUAAUACAUGCAAGUCGAGCGGAGUUGAUGAGGUGCUUGCACCUCUGAUGCUUAGCGGCGGACGGGUGAGUAACACGUAGGUAACCUGCCUGUAAGACUGGGAUAACAUUCGGAAACGAAUGCUAAUACCGGAUACGCGAAUUGGUCGCAUGGCCGAUUCGGGAAAGACGGAGCAAUCUGUCGCUUAUAGAUGGACCUGCGGCGCAUUAGCUAGUUGGUGAGGUAACGGCUCACCAAGGCGACGAUGCGUAGCCGACCU
rnacentral:rRNA from 1 species